CGGCAGACGGGUGGCGGACAUCCGAUGAAAGCCGCAGACACGGUAACGAUGUCAAUCAUUGAAACAAUGAAGGACACGCCGUCCUUCAGUGGGAUUCCGGGUGCUUCUCAAUCCGAAACCACCAUCGGUGCAGUGCGCAGUGCAACAGGAUUUGUUGAGCUGCUCCAACUGGAUGACUUCCUCAACUUUGCUGCCGAUAUUCGUCCAUUCGACGAUGAUGAAACAGUAAA